rnacentral:rRNA from 1 species
UACGUAGGGUGCGAGCGUUAAUCGGAAUUACUGGGCGUAAAGCGUGCGCAGGUGGUUCGUGAUGUCUGGUGUGAAAGCCCCGGGCUUAACCUGGGAAUUGCAUUGGAAACUAGCGGGCUGGAGUGUGGCAGAGGGGGGUGGAAUUCCACGUGUAGCAGUGAAAUGCGUAGAGAUGUGGAGGAAUACCGAUGGCGAAGGCAGCCCCCUGGGAUAACACUGACGCUCAUGCACGAAAGCGUGGGGAGCAAACAGG